rnacentral:rRNA from 1 species
AUUGAACGCUGGCGGCAGGCCUAACACAUGCAAGUCGAACGAGUGGCGGACGGGUGAGUAAUGUUUGGGAAACUGCCCGAUGGAGGGGGAUACCUACUGGAAACGGUAGCUAAUACCGCAUACCAUCGGAUGUGCCCAGAUGGGAUUAGCUAGUAGGUGGGGUAAUGGCUCACCUAGGCGACGAUCCCGAGCUGGUGUGAGAGGAUGACCAGCCAUACUGGAACUGAGACACGGUCCAGACUCCUACGGGAGGCAGCAGUGGGGAAUAUUGCGCAAUGGGCGCAAGCCUGAUGCAGCCAUGCCGCGUGUUUGAAGAAGGCCUUCGGGUUGUAAAGUACGUUCAGCGAGGAAGCGUUACUCGCGGAAGAAGCACCGGCUAACUCCGUGCCAGCCGCCGCGGUAAUGC